rnacentral:lncRNA from 1 species
GGGGGGGGGGGCUAGGAUGAAAUUUGAAAAAAAUAGGAGAGGACAGGAGUUUGAGUAAAAAAAAGGCAGGAUGAGACACUUGCAAAAAAAAAAAAGUCAGGACGACAAUUUAGGUAAAAAAAAAGUCAGGAUAAACUAAAAAAAAAAAAGGCAGGACCGAACAGAGUGAAAAAUAAAAAGGCAGGACAGAGAUUACAGCUAAAAAAAAAUGCAGGAGAAUAUUUUUCAUCCUAGCUCCCCCCCCCCCCCCC